UACGUAGGGGGCUAGCGUUGUCCGGAAUCAUUGGGCGUAAAGAGCGUGUAGGCGGCCCGGUAAGUCCGCUGUAAAAGUCAAAGGCUCAACCUUUGAAUGUCAGUGGAUACUGCCGGGCUAGAGUCCGGAAGAGGCGAGUGGAACUCCUGGUGUAGCGGUGAAAUGCGCAGAUAUCAGGAGGAACACCGGUGGCGAAGGCGGGUCUCUGGGCCGUAACUGACGCUGGAGGAGCGAAAGCGUGGGGAGCAAACAGG
rnacentral:rRNA from 1 species